rnacentral:lncRNA from 1 species
CAUGUAUCAUCAUCACUUACCAAUGACUAACUAGUUGGUGAUAGCCAGAGUCAUGAGCGAGAACAUGAGCUUUAGCAAUCCUCCAUAACCAAGCACCAGUGGCAUACCAAGUUGGGCAAUAAACUUGCUUCCAUUGAGGCUUAUCAUCUACUGGUGGCCUAGUUAGCUCAAUUGCCAAAGGUCUUAAAGUGCCAUUAGGUGUCAAGAAGAACAAAGUUCUUGAUCCAUAAAGUACUGUCCCUUUGAGUUCAUUCACUUUGUUCACAUAUGGCAAUAGCAAAUCAUGAUAAUCUAGGAUGAACAACUUCUUUUGUUGAACUGCCUGCAUCGAUUAUGUAUAAACAAAUAUCAUAAGAGGCGAUCUUGAAUUUUUGAACCCCCUUAACAAAAAAUGACAUUUGUUGUUCAUCUGGAAUAAGUUCUAGAUGUAAUGUGUGCAUAAGUUAAUUUUGUUUAUAAUGCAAGAGUUUGAGACAAUUCAAGAAGUUAAAGAGAGUGAAGAUAGUGUAGUGUGUUGCCUAUUGGGUGGGAGAUUCAGUUGUAUUGACUUGUGAACAAUUGAGCAACACGUAUAACAUUUGUCUCAUAGUUAAAACUAAUUAUUGAAAUGUGUUGAAAUCUUGUCUCUUAGUUAAAAACAAUUUAUGUCUGAUGGGUAACAAAGGAUAUUUUUUAUGCGAGAUCAAAAGUUCAUGACCACUCCUUAUGAAAGUCAUUCUUGCACAUCGCUUUGUAUAAUCAUGUAAAUUGCACAAGCUAGUCAGUUUAUUAUUUGUGCGGUAUGACCUUUCUUGCGACUAGUAUUUUAAAUCUUGCCUCCCAAUUAGUUCAACAAAUUAACUAAAUUUCGCCUUUAAAAGUUGUUGGAUGAAUCUUUUCCUUUUUAAAGACAAAUUUAGCUCAUUGAGCUAUUGGGGGACAUGAUUUAAAGAGUGACCUCAAGAAGGGUCAUUUGUGCAAAUAAAAAAUACCAAACUAUUGGCCUGACCAAAUAUCGUCUGUCCACAAACAAACCAAAAAAUAUAUAUAUUUUUCUCGUAGUUGAAAAUAAAUAAAUAAAAAUGUUGUGUUUUAUAUAUACCUCUUCAACAGUCAUAAAUCCUCCAAUUUCUAAUUCAAUUAGCUCUUUUGUGAUUGCUGAUUCAGGAGGUCCAUACACUUCAGGGUCUAGCUUGCUCUUCAAUGGCCAUUCCUGUAUUUAGCAACGGAUUAAGGACAGAUAAAAUUAUGUUGGACGAAGCAAUAAACUAUAUUCUAGCUCAAAAUGUUUCAACCAUUAUUAAAAUGAAAAUUAAGGCAAUAACAUACGGUAACCAAUUAGCGUAUACUAUAUGGAUUGAUGUAAACAACCGAUGUAGAUAAAUCUUUUUAUCGGAAUUACAUACCGUAACCAAUCGUAUACUAUAUGGAUUCAAACCAGCUAAGGUUUGACGAGCAAAUUCCACAUCUCUAAACCAUGCAAAUUUGUCCCCUGCCAUAAAUAUAAAUAAAAUAUUUAGUUUUACAAAAAAAAAUUAAAAAAAAUUAAACAUACAAACAAUAUUUCGCAUUUUUGGUGGAUCCGAACAACAUUGUAAGUUUCAAAUCUACAUAAGUUACAAUUCUCAACAAUGUUAUCACCACAUUCCUAUAGGUACAUAUAUGAUAUGUAUCUGUCGAUAUUUAGUAAAGAGUCUGAGCAACAUAUGCUUUAUAGGUUUUAAGUACUUACUUUCAAGAAAUUCAGGAGUUGCAAAAAGCAAGACAUCUUUUCUAGUUUCAGAAAUAGCCCUAAUGAGCCUUCGUAUAAUCGAAAAAAGGCUAUUUGUUUGAAGUGCCGGAAGUUCUACUUCGACGUUGUAAAGUGAGUCGAUGGCCGGAAAAUGGGGAAAUCCAAGCUCGGGAUCGGUGAUGAUUGAUUGCAACCCUGGCACAACGGCGUGUAGGACCGCGUAAAUGGUGUUGCCUGAGAAUGAUAAGUUCUUCACUUCUGAAAAUGCUUCAUCUCUUGGUACAUAGGUAAAGUCACUCUUUGAUUCGGAUAAUGGAUCUGCAUGCUCGAAAAAGAGUCAGACUACAAGGAUCUAUCGCACUCAUUCAAAAGAUAUUUACUAUUUUGUAUAUAUAAUAAAGUGGAAUGUGUAUUGUGUAAUCUUGAAAAUAUGGUCCAAGUUAUCAGUUAUGUAAUCAUGUCAAAAACUAUAAUCGAUAGUAAGAGUGUGUAACUGGGUCUCGCCAGGCAUAGAUAGGAUAUGUUUGUAUUAUCCAACAAUUCCCCUCCCAACAUCUGUCACAUGCAACAUGUCAUUCAUGGGAAUUGAACCCAUAACCUUGAUUAUGAUAUUACUUAUUAGAAUCUCAAUCGCUUACCAUUAUACCAAAAAAAAACAUAAUUGAUAGCCAGGGCACAACUUUUAUUUCGUAAUUAAUUUCAUCAAGCAAAUGUCAUGUUCGAGUUCGAUCAUAACUCCGACCUAGACCAUAUCCGGCUUGUUGCCUUCAUGAUCAACUACAUAAUAAAUAAUCUAAUUAUGUACAUAAAUUUUUUAUGUUGUCAGUGUAUAUUAAACAAUAAAAAAGUAUUUUAGGUUUAUGAACUACUCCCUCUGUCCUAAUUUAUAUGACUCACUUUCUUUUGCAAUCAGUCCCAAAAAGAAUGACACAUUUCUAUAUCAACUAAUAAUUUAACUGUAAAAUGUCUAUUUUACCCUUAAUGAAAUGAUUUAUAGACACAAAAACAUUCAUCACUUAUUUUAGACCACAAAUUUUAAAAGUAUUUCUUUCUUUCUUAAACUCCGUAUCAAAUCAAACUAACUCAUAUAAAAUGAAACGAGGAGAGAGUCUAUAUUUACCUUUUUCACUUCUUGGUCUACCAGUUCUACACCUUCUAGGAUAAGGUAACUCUUUUCCACCAAGUACUGGUCUUUUACCAUCAACAUCACCAUCAGGAUUACCAAUAUCAUUAUAAACAUCAUAGUCAUAAAUUCUCUCAAAUAUUUUUCUUUCUCCAAAUCCAUCACCUCUUAAUGUCACAAGUUCUGUCUCUCUCAACUUCUUUAGUCCACUUGGAGUUUGAGAUGGUAAAUAUGACUGCCAUAAGAAAAAAAAAGAAUUAGAGUAUACAUCGUUGAUCAUAUAAUUAAGUAAAUAAAUAAAUAUGAUUCUACAAAUAGGAUUUAGAAAGGGCAAAAUAUAUGUAGAUCUAAUUUUCUUUACCUUAAUGGAAUAUAUAAAUUAUUUUCAAUAGAUCAUCAACUCAAAAGAAAGAAAAACAAAACAUAUUUACAAUUUAUUUUUUUAUCCUCCCUAGGAGCUCCCACCCUUUUUGCUCCUUUGGUGACUCAAACUCGCAAUCUUUGGGUUGGAAGUGAGGGGUGCUUACUUCCAAAUUUAAACAGAUUGCACGAGUCAUGUAUUUGUGAGCUGAUUUUAUUACCCUACGACCACUAAUUAUCAUAAAGAAUUUUCCUGCACAUGUUUUUUUCUCUUUUUUUUUUUUUUUAAUAAUUGUGGUGUUCAAUAUAAUUUAUAUAUCUCUUACUCGUAUGUGUCCCAUCACUCAUGUGUAAGUGUCAAUAUCUCCUUUAUUUUCCUAAAUUCUAACGUUAGACUAAUAAUAAUGGACUUAAUAAUAUAAGGUGCACAAUAAUAGCAUCAUCCUAUGUUUUGUACUACAAUAAUAAAUAAUUGAAAUUGGACCACAACCCCACUUUUUUGUGACAUUUUUUUGUCUUUAAAAGUGCAACAUGAAAUAUAAAACAAAAGUACUACUUUGCUUCUUUGUAUUUUCAGAAAUUAAUGGCCGUAUAUGUGGUCCAAUAUUUCGAUAAUUUAUUACUCGUCUUAAAUAAUCUGUCAUGAUUUAUUUUUUUAAAUAUUCAUUAAAAAUUUAAUUAGAAAGUCUCUUUUUUUUUUUUGUAAAAUAACUUAUCUUUUAUUGGUAUUUAUGAAUAAUUAUAAUAUAUAUCAGUCAUAGUUUUUGUGUUUGUAGUUUUCAAAAAUAAUAACUACUAAGGAUAGUAGGGAUGAACUUCUAAAAUGACUGAUAAUUUCAAAUAAUUAUUUUUAAAAAUUACGAUAAAUAAUUUAAGACAAAUAAAUAUAUAAUAACUCGUUAUUCUAACCGUUAAUUUGCGACAACCAGUUACUUUUAUAUUUUGGACGAAGAAAUCCUAUAUAUAAUAAGUUGGUUUUUUUUAAUCUUCAAUUAUGAGUAAAAAGAUACAAUGUCAAUAUAUAUAAUUCAAAUUUCUUCAAUGAUAACAUCUUUUCGUUCAUUAUGAAAAUCAACUUGUUAUUUUGAACGAAGAAACAAUGUCUAAAAUAAAUCAAAUUUUCCGAAUUAUCAAAGAAUAUAAAUAAAUAGAGGAGAGGGAAUUUACGCAAACCUUAUUGGUGAAGAAAAUUCUUUUAUCAGGAUUAUCAUAUUUGGAAUGAACCCAAGAGUUGCAUGUAAUUUCAACUUUGCCAUGGACAAAACCGUCAAUUACUAUAUUCUUCACAUACAUUUGCUUGCGGUGUUGAUUUUCUAUUAAAAUUGCACCAACGUCCCCAAAGUCUUCAGGAAAUACAAAUUCAACCUCAUAUUCUCUGUUACCAUCCACAUCUCGUCCACGACGUGCAAAUCCCUCAAUUAUUGGCUUCUCAAUUCCAGUCUCUUUAAAUAAAUAAGGAAUUAAAAUAAUUAAUAUAAUAUUCAAAGAAUGGGAAAUUAAAAAAAAAUUGGUAAACAUUAGAGGGAGAAGCUACAAUUCAAUAUUUUAACUUGACAUUAGCUGAUAUUUAUGUGCCCUCUAACUUUGGGUGUGCAUAAGUAGACACUUAAACUUGUAUAAAGUUGAACAAGUCGGCAUGCACGUCCUAUGUGGCAUAAUCAAGUAGGAUGCUCCGUAGGGUGCGAAUUGCCACAUAGAACGUCAAGUAGGACACGAGUGUCUACUUGUCCAACUCUAUAUGGUGUCGUUUGAUUGGGAGCAAGUUAUCUCAUCAUGUAUAUGAGAUAACUUAUCCCAUCAUGUAUAUGAGAUAACUUAUCCCAUCACUAAGGUAUAAAUGAUGGGAUAAAUAAUCUCAGGACUGUCUAAUAUAUCCAACCAAACACAUGACAAAACAAUCCUGCAUUUUAUCCCUGGGACUAUCAUUUAUACCUUAUAAGUUUAAGUAGCUUCUUGUGGAUACCCAAAGUUGGAAGGUAUAGAUGUCAGAUAGGACCAAGUUAAAAGACACACUAAUAUAUUAUGCUUUUGAAUUUUAUGAAUUUCUAUAAAAACUUUAAAUUAAUAUGCUAAAAGAUAAAUUUACAUUUUUUUUAUAUUUACAGAUAUCUAGUGAUUUUUUGAAUAUAAAUACAUGAUCAGGACAAAAUUAUUAAAUUCACAUUAAUUCAAUGCUUCAAGGCCAUAUCUUACUCUAACUAAAGGUACUUUUAACUUCUAAAAAUUUGGACAAUUACAGUCUAUAUAUUAUAAAUAACUUUUAGUAAUAUUUUUUUUCUUUUUCUUUAGGAUAGUCUUAAGCAAACAAACUACUCGCUCCCAUUUACGUUUGCUUAUCCAUUAUACUAAUAAUAAUUUCUUUUUUCACAUUUAGUAUAUCGAAAGAAAAACACUUUUUUUCAUCAUGAAUAAAUUAAUAUGAACGGAUGAAGUAUAAAUUAAUAACCUGUUUAGCCUAUUAAAUUAAGCGCGCCAAAAUUUUCAAAAUAAUAAUAAUAAUAAUAAUAUAAGUCCUUAAUUUACCUAUAAACCCUAGCAUAGUCUGACCUCUUUAUAUAUAAAAUAUUUUAUUAUAACAAUUAAGUUUUUAUGUCAUAGAUUUUUUAUAUUAUGUUAUACUAUAUUUUUUUAUAAUAGCAUAUUACUAUAACAGUAAAAAAUAUCUGAACAACCGAUGUUAUUCUAGAGAACUAGUUUACUUCUAAGUGAAUGCGAUAGAAGAAAAUUUGCAAAUGAAAUGACAUCCACACGUAGUCUUAUCAAAGGUACUUAUUUGAAGUAGACAUGAGGAUAAUUGUUUUUUUUUUUCAUUACAAAAGUAUGUUAUUUUUUUGUUUGCAAAUAGUUUAAUUUUGAAUAAAUGUUACACAAGUAUAGUAUAAUUAAUGUUUCGCAAGUUCAAAAAAUAUUUUCCUUCUAUCUUUCUUAAAUGUUAUGUUCGAUUAAAAAAGUUCACAUACUAUAAAAUUAUAGUAAUAUUAUUUGUUUUCUGUUCGAACAACUCUUUGUGAUAAAAAUAAAUUGUUUUUUGGAUAUAUUAGUAAAUUUCAAAUAAAUAACAUAUUUUUAUAUUGCAAAAUAUCUAACUUUAAAUUCACUACUAUAAAAAAAAAUAGCGACUGACAAUUUCUCCUUCAUCAACUUCGAAACUAGCUAGCUCUUCAGGGAAGGAAGGGAGCAAAUGAAACUACUUGUUUUUUUAAAAAAAAAAAAAUAUGAUAACAAUAAUUUUUUUGUUAUUUCUAAACUGUCAAAUCUCUUUAACAUUAUGUUUUUUUUUAGUAUAGAGUCAAAGAAGAUUCAAAAAUACUAAAUAUAUUCUUGAAAAUAUCUCUGAAUAAAUUCUUGAUCUCGCCACUAAUUAAAUAUACUUUUCCUCCUAUGUUGCACUCGCUUUUGCUCCCUUCUUCCCUUCAAAAGGGAGGAAUGGAGCAAAUAAAGUAGCGGUUCCAAUUGGAGGCGAAUGGAACUUAUUUCACCAAAAUCAAUAAAAAUUGCUAUAAUUUUAAAGAAUAUUAAAGUUUUGAAUGCAAAAUAUCACAAGUACAAUAAAUUACGGGAACUUUAAAAGUUGAAAUCAUCAAGUGUAUAUAUAAACUUAGGUUUCAACUCUGACUCAUUGGCACAUCCACAUAGAGUUAAGGAUCAUGAUCAGUUUAACAUCCUUCACCAAAAUAUUAUAACAAGUAUAUUACCCAUAUAUAUAAGUCAGAGAUUAAUUACUUUAUAUAUUUUUUACUUAAUUUAUAUGGCAUCGCUAAACAUCUAAACUUUUAUCUUGAAUUCGUACAUAUAGAAGCUAUAAGUUUCUUUGAAUAAAAAAUUAUCUAUUUUAAACACGCUACGGUAAAAAAUAUUAUAAAUUUAUAAUAACGUAAAAUAUCUAAAAGAUACAUAAGAAAAUUACAAUCAAAUAAAAACCCGACUGACUCUCGAAACUCCAACUAUGUCACAUACAUUGAGAUUAGAAUGAAAGAAGUAUAUAUUAAACUUUGAACAUUCUUGAUGAAAUUUCUCAUUUCACCAGCACUGCCCUGAAUACUCCGACCAGCACACAUAAAAACUUAAAUAAAGAGAGAACACACUUUCAUUUACGAAAGAAAUAUAAAUUUAUGAGUGAAUCAUGAAUACUUACUAGGAUCAAGCUCAGCAGCAACAAUAGACAAUAAAAGUGAUCUCCCAAAUAAAUCACCAAUAUCAUCAAGUCCUCUUGUAAAACUAAAAUUAGUUCCUCCAACUGUUCUUUGAACAAUCACCAAUGCUUUACCACUUGUUGAUUUUUCAAUAUUAGAACUUUGCACAUAUGUAGAAUUUUCAGUAGAACUUACCACAACCUUGGUGAUAAAAUUCUUCUUUUUUUUAUUAACUCUAAGAUUUUUAUUAUUUAAAAUAUUUAUGGGAAAAGAGGCUAAGAAUAAUGGUUUAGUAUUCCAAUAUGGAAUUAGGGUUUUUGUGGAUUGUGAUGAUUGUUGAAUUUGAGGUUUCAACAUUUUUUUUUUUUAAAAAUGUUUUGUUUGACAUAUGGUUUGGUUUGUAUUAUGAUUCUCUAUGGAGUUCUCUUUAUAUAGAUGGAGUUUUGCUUAGGGAACUUUUGUUUUUGUGUUGUUGUUGUGGCGGAAUAGAUUGAAUUUUGAUUAGUCAAAUUUAUAACUUCGGUUAAAAAUAUUCGAAGUUGGUCUUGACAGAUUAUACCAUAUACUUUAGAUCGAUAUAUAUAUGUACUUACAAAAAUAUCUUAAGUAAAACACAAAUUUUUAACUUCAGUCCAAUACGUCUGAAGUGAUUGAGUCAUAACCCAAUCGGUUAAAACAAAAAUUAAGAAACUUCUAUCAUACCAUCCAAAAACCUUGAAGUUUUCUAAAAAUUAAUGGUCCAAUUUCAAGGAUAUACGAUGUCGAAAAGUAUAACGUUUGAAUAAAUAAACAAAACGAAUUAUCAAAAACAACACAUGGUGGUGUCACACUAGCUACAAAUCUACCCACUACUUGACUAAUAAGAUUUUACUCGCUCCGUUUCAAUUUUUUUGUCUUAUUUUUCUUUUUAAUUUCUUUUUCUAUUUUGACAAUUUUUUAAAUAGAAUUUUCAUUGUCUAGAAUAUAUAGGUUGUGGACAAAGAAAAUUUAUACGAAUUAAGACGACUUUUGAUAAUUCAUAACUUGACUAAUAAAUUCAAUUUCAAGUUCGUAAUUUCUUUUUAAAAAAGUUAAAUUUGAUUUAUAAUUUUAUUGUCAGUGUAUGAAUAGAUUAUUCAUAUCAUAUGUAAAAAUAUUAUAUUAAAAUCACAUAUAUAUCUCUACAGUGUUUUUAUACAUAAGUAUUUGUAAUUACAUGUUAUUACAAACUUUCAAACUUUCAAACACUCAUAAACUUACAAAGAUUCAUUAGUACUCCAAUAAAUCUACAAUAAUAAUAACUGAUUAUUCUUUAAUAUAAUCCCCCACAUGGUACGGUCAAUCUCUUCACAUGCCGAGCAUGACUUUUUUUCCUGUAAAAUUUUAAAAUAUAGAUUUCUUUUUAUAAAAUAUAGAUUUACAAAUCAAAUAUUUUAUUUUAAAAAAAAAUCACAGUCCUGAAAGGAAGUGACGUAUUUUAUGUGGGGUUAACUUAAAUAUUUCAAAUUUUUUUAUUUAUUAAAAUCCUCAAUGACAUGGUCCUUCCAUAAAAUAUUUGGUGACCAGCCUAUUUUUCAAUGGACUUGUUUUAUUUUUAAUUAUUUUUAAAAAAAAACAGUAUUAUAGCAUCAUAAAUUUUGAAUUUUUAUGUAUAUUGUGACGUCAUAAUUAACAAAUUUUUAAUAAGUUAUUAAUGAUAUUGAACAAUAUUGUUUUCCUCGACCAUUUCAAACUAAGAAAUUUUUCUAGAAUAAAAAAAACAGUAGUAUAGAAUAUUCACGUAUUUUGAAUGAUUGUAUAGGUUCCGGCUUGAGGCCAUGAAUACUAGCUAAGAGAGACGUGUCUGCUUCAACGUGUUUUGAAAAAAAAAUUAUUCCUUUUGUUCUACUUUAAUUUAAUUACUAUAUAAUUUUUCUCUUUUAUGGAAUCCGCUUAAGCUAUGACUUUUAGUUUUAAAUUCAAGACUUCACGCUGAAGCAGGCACGUCGUGUUUCGAAAAAAAAAUUUAAAAAUUAUUUCUUUUGUUUUACUUUAAUUAGUGUGUAAUUUUUUGAAAUUAUGGAAUCCAUUUUAGCUAUGUCUUUUAAUUGUAAAUUCAUAUUCUUUAGUUAUUGCUUUAUUAUUUUGAAUGUUGGUAAUAUUUGUUUAUAUCUUGUAACUACUUUGAGUAAAAAUUCAACAAUCAAUGACAAAAUAUACUUUAAUUAUGAACAUCUUAAUGGACCUCUUCACAUUAAAUUUGCACAAACAAAAAGUAAUUAACAACUUAAAUAUCUCAAAAUCAUAUUAAAAUUUAAUCAACUUUCUAAAUUCUACCUAUCAGAUAAUUAAAUUAAAAUAAAAAAAUACUAAAAUAAUGGGCCCGUGCUAGCACGGGCUGAAGACUUAGACUUCACAUAGUUUAGUCGAAGAUAAUAAAGAUUAACUACUCCCACUGACAGUGAACAACAAAAUUACACUGUCAGUCUACUAUAUAAUUUGAAGAAUGCGAUCAACUCACCCAAAAGUACUAAAGGUGCUAGGGAGAACACAUAUUUAUUUAUUUAAUUAUAUUAUUUCUCAACGUGUUCUCUCACAUUCGAGCCUAGUUUUUUUCAUGGACCGAGCACAUAAUUAUUUUUUUUUGAAUGGGUGACGUUGAGACUUAAAUUCAGAACCUUUGUGUCUACUUUGAUACCACACAUAGGAAAAAUGAAUUUUUUUUGCAUAUCAUACUAUAUGAAAAUGAAUGUUUUGGCCAAGUUCUUAAAGGUCAAGAAUAAGUUUGGUAGAUUGCUACUUGUUGGUAUGGGGACCAAUUAAUAGAAAAUAAUAUGUGGUGAGGCUAUAUAUAAUAUGAAAAUGAACUUUUGACAUUUCCUAAAUUAAAUAAAAUCAGAAUUUUUUGACUUAUUUUUUGACAUUUCUUAAUGGUGGUGUUUGUGUCCUCCACAAAUCUUAUCUUUGACAUUUCAAAUAGUUUGCUUGGGAAAUUCCGGAGACAUAAUAAUGGGAUUAUAGUAUAAGAAAAUUGUAUAUCUCACGUGAAUUAUCAAUGAAAUAAAAAAAUUGAAAAAUAUUUACCUUCGUACCAAACACACCCUACUUAGACCUAUACUAUAUGUAACAUUUUGUUUUGGACAUAAUACAUAAAUAUACCUUUAACUUGGCUUCAAUUGAUAUUUAUGCCCUCCAACUUUGUGUGUGCACAAGUAGACACUUAAACUUGUAUAAAAUUGAACUAGUAGAUACACACAUUCUAGGUGGCAUAAUACACAUAGGACACAAAAUUGUCAUGUAGGACGCAAAAAUAGGAUGAAUAAUGUGUCUAUUUGUUUAAUUUUAUACAGAUUUAAAUGUCUAUUUGUGCAUACUCAAAAUUGUAGGGCAUAGCUGUCAGGUGAAGCCAUGUUAAAAGGUGUAUUUGUGUCUCUUCCUUGUCUUGACUAGCCUUGUUCUCACCAAUAUUUUUGGAUCUUGUCUUCCCUUCUACAACCCACUAUAGGUUGGUUGAAAAGGUCCAAGAAAAAGGUGAUUAGGUAUAACAUGGCUCUACGGCUUAUUAAAGACAUAAUUUUAGAUAGAAAGAUAUAGAAGUCGAGGAUAAGGGUAAAAGGGUUGGGUUAGUUGGUAGUGUUAUUAUUACUCUCCCGUUAUUUUAUUCUUCGACUUUAGUAUUACCUGUUGUUUCAUUUGCUUUAUUUAUCAUAUUUUUGUCGUUGCUAUUUAUUCUCUUAUUAAUUAUUUUCAGCAUGGUUUCUUCGCUAUUGUAGUUGUUUCUAUGAGCAUUUGCAAAAGAAAAAAGGAACUAGCACACACAAAAUCAAAUGGAAAUGCUAUAAGGUACACCUUUUCCAGUAACUCCAGGUUCAGAAUAUGGUUUCAAUAAUUCAUAAGGAUCAGCUGUUGGAUCCUCACUUGGCAUUUUUGAUCUAGCAAUUGUUGGCCUAUUUGGAAAGUAGCCUACAUAUGCAAUAGAAUAGUUAAUAUUUCAAGAAUUUAGGAGGACAUGUAUGUAUGAUGAGAGCUGAGCGGGCCGAUAUCGAAAACAAUCUAUCUACCUAGUUUAAUUUAAAGGUUUAGGACAUAUAUGCUAGCAUCAUUUAACUAGUGUAGUAGUCCCACAGAGUAGGGUCUAUGAGAAUACAUUGUAAGCAGAUCUUAACCCUACCUCAGAAGUUGAAGAACGUCUCAGCUCAAGGAAAAACAGUUCAAACUAAUACAAUAUUGAGGACAUAUAUGUAGAUAUGUAGUGUAAAUAAAAUAAGUAGAAAAAAGGAGUUUUCAUUUUGAAGAUAUUAAGGUAGAGUGGAUGGCCCGGUGUAUAUGAUUUAACUUCAUACACACUUAAGAUCAGUUCGAUCCCUGAAGCAUCCCACAUUCACGUAGGAUUCAAAAAGGGUUGUACCCUAAAGGGCUAUAGGGGGUGUAAUAUAGCUAAACAACUUAUCCUGACACAAACAUCUCAGUCACAAACACGUGACCUAUGAGAUUUGUUUGUGGAUAAUAAUGAUUGACAUAAUUUGUUACCCGUUGUUUAAGUAUGUCCCAAAGUACUAAACCAUCAUUAGAAAAAGGGUAAUCUUCUAUUGUUAGUUUCAAUCCAUGUGGUGCAUUUGGAUCUUCCUCUGCCAAUCCCCGGUAUAUUUUGCACAAAAUAAUUUGUUAGUUGAAGCAGGGGCGUCAAAAAGUUAUACCGUAUAUAAAUAUUAGAUUCUUAAUCUCCCUUGUUGUAUCGUACCAAUGUACGAUACAACAUGUCUACAUCCCGGCUUUUGAUAAUUAAGACUCAUUUUUUAAAGGUUUCAUUUGUAAAUACCAUAUAAUUGAUCUGAUCGUAUAAAUAUUAUUUACCCCAUUAGUACUACAUCAAUCUAUACUCAAAAAUAAAACCUAACAAAGGAUUAGCGUCCAUCAAAGUUAGCAAUAGGAUGGUAAAUACCCCUAUAUCUGUAAUCAGAGGUCUCAAUUUCGAUCAUUGUGAAUGAUGGUGUCUUUGAUUGGGAACAUGUAACCACUAAAAUGGGAUAUCCUGACACAAAUUCGAAUUAAUCUUAUCCCAAAGUAUACUCCAAACAUCGGGUGGAAACAAAAAAAAAAAAAAAGAUUAGUGAUCAAUAAAAGUUGUGGUAGAGUUGUUAGCACCCUUCCAUCUUUAACCUCAUGUCUCGAAUUCUACCCUAGUUGUGAAUCGAGUCAAUUUAAUUGGGAGCGCUUACCCCUAAAGUGAGACUUUAUGACGCAAAUUCUAAUUACUCAAGUCUUAGAACAGAUACCAGACACGGAAAAUAGAAGAUAAGUGAAUUAUUACCUGCUACUAAGGUUUUGUGGGAGUGCCUCUUGGUCAAAUCUCUAUUGUGUAUCUGAAAUGAGGAUGCAACGAUCUAUUUAUUGGAUGCAUUGCACUUAGUUUCCUAUUUGUUGCAAUAAUAUAUGGCUCUGUACAACAAUGAAUUCUUAACCUGAAAAAUUUUGGUACAAAAAAAGAAUUAGCCAUAAAUUUUUCAAAAUCAAAAUUACUAAGAUAUCGAGAAACUUAAGGAGUCGGUUAGCAAAGAGUUUAAGUUAUAUGCAUCGUGCAUCAGUUUAAGGAAUUUAUACACCAUCAAGUCACAUUUCUUUGUUUAAGUUGUAACAGGUAACCUAUCUUAUUUUCAAGAAGACUUAUCGGUAGAUGACUUGAUAGUAUAAAAAAAAAAGUCUUUACACAUACAUCGUGAUAGAGUACUAUAAUGUAAGGAGUCAGUUAGCAAAGAGUUCAAGCUAUAUCCACUGUCAUCAUCAAGUGAUCACUUCUACGUACUUAGGCAUAAUAUAUAAACAUGACCCUUAACUUGGCUUCAACAAACAACUAUGCCCUCCAACUUUGAGUGUGCAAGUAGACACUUAAACUUGUGUAAAAUUGAACAAGUAGACACACAUGUCCUAUAUGACAUAAUACAUGUAGUACGCCACGUAGGACACAAAAUUGCCAUGUAGGAUGUCAUAUAGGACGAAUUUGUUCAUUUGUUCAAUUUUAUACAAGUUUAAGUACCUACUUGUGCACACUCAAAGUUAAAGAUCAUAGUUGUCAGCUGACGCCAAGUUAAUGGUCAUGUUUAUUAUGUAUUAUAAUAAACCCGAUGUCUUAAGAAGACUUAUUUGUAAAUAUCUUUUAGGUGAUGUGAUAACUUACCAGUGACUAACUAGUUGGUGACAGCCAGAGUCAUGAGAAAGAACAUGAGCUUUAGCCAAUUUCCAUUGCCAAGCACUAGUGGCAUGCCAAGUUGGACAAUAAACUUGCUUCCAUUGAGGUUUAUCAUCUACUGGUGGCCUAGUUAUCUCAAUUGCCAAAGGUCUCAAUGUGCCAUCAGGUGUCUAGAAGAACAAACUUCUUU